CUGGCAGAAGAGACAAGGCCCGGGGGCUUUUAAGUCACUAGUGGUUCCGUUUAGUAGAUGGUUUGUGCAUUGUUUCAAAAUGGUGCCCUAGUGACUACAAAGCCCCAGAGCCAGCAUCAUCGGUGAAGCA
rnacentral:pre_miRNA from 7 species